AAGGAGCAUCUAGCUGCCGCGAGGCAGCCAGGGCCACAACGUCGGCGAACGUCCGACGGUGGUUGCUCAUGGGUGGAACGUUGAUUAUUCGGCACUUUCAGUCAUCUCGGGCUGCCAGUACUGCUCUUCGGAGCGUGGAACGCUGAUCACGAGUGGCGAGGGUGUCGGGCACGCUGUUGGGUGUCUGAGGGAAUGAACUUCCUUCAGUGCCGGCCCCAGUGCACUCGAACCGCUGGUUCGGGGUGAUGGGUGGUUGGUCGUUG
rnacentral:misc_RNA from 1 species